GACCAUACCCUCCUCUAACAAAUUUCUGCAACUGAUGAGUGAUUCCCAAAAGACAUCCCUGCAGACACACAGGCUUACAAAGAACCACAGAAUGUUGAACAUUUUUGCAAAAUAGCUUUGUAAAUACUGAAACAGACUUCCAUGAACACUAUCUUACCUUUGGAACAGAAAUUAUUCCUUGGCUAUGGGAAAUCAAAUUUUUGAUUUGCAAUAACUAAGAACAUAAAGAAAGAAUUAGAAUGGGAAUUUUCUGUCUCAUAGUGACAUAUUGCUAUGUUUAACAGUGAACACUCACCAGCUCAGCUCUCACUUGCCACAACCGAAUAACCUCUCUCAAAGUAAGUCCAGUCCAUCUGUGUGCAUAUACAAACAAGAGACAAUCUGGAAAAGACUUACUAUUAAAAAAAAAAAAAAAAGCAAGGUGACAGCAAUUAUAAAGGACAUACAAAUAACUGAGGACUCAGAGAGAUGAUGGUGGGGACCAGAAUGGCACAACAAGAUGUUAUUUACACAUUUUUUUUCUAAGACUCAGAUAUCACAGAAACCAAUUUAAGAAUAAAGACUUGACUAUGAAACUAAAGCCAAGCAAUAUCAUUCCCAAGAGAAGCAGUUAUACCAGCAAGUGUAUCAGCUGUGAUCACACAUUAUGUAAUUAUAGUUUGCUCUGUGAAGAUUGACAGUAGCUCAAAGGGCACAUGAAGGCACAGUUUCAGCUUUCUGUUGGAAAGCCUGAUUAGAUGCUUCACAUGAAAAAAGCAGCUCAAUGACCAUGAGCAAAGAUUAGCCCAUGUCUCAUGCCAGCCAUGGCAGAAGAGGAGCCACUGAUUCAAACUCAAAUCAGCUUCAACCAGGAACUUUGUCUAAAAAAAAAAUGAAUUUAUAGAAAUUUCUCUUCCUGGACACUACCAUGCCAGAUAAAAUUCACUUAACUCAACUCAGCCUAGUUGACUGCAAGAAUUAUCAAUAAGAAACAGGCUGC
rnacentral:lncRNA from 1 species